rnacentral:ribozyme from 13 species
GAUAUAUAUAUGAAAGAGAAAAAGAGAGAGAGAGAUUUCAAUCAUUUUUUUCUAUUCUUCUCCUUAAUCUUUUUAUUGUUAUUAUUAUUCUUGUCAUUUUUUUG